rnacentral:rRNA from 1 species
GAGUUUGAUCCUGGCUCAGAUUGAACGCUGGCGGCAGGCCUAACACAUGCAAGUCGAGCGGAUGAGAAGAGCUUGCUCUUCGAUUCAGCGGCGGACGGGUGAGUAAUGCCUAGGAAUCUGCCUGGUAGUGGGGGACAACGUUUCGAAAGGAACGCUAAUACCGCAUACGUCCUACGGGAGAAAGCAGGGGACCUUCGGGCCUUGCGCUAUCAGAUGAGCCUAGGUCGGAUUAGCUAGUUGGUGAGGUAAUGGCUCACCAAGGCUACGAUCCGUAACUGGUCUGAGAGGAUGAUCAGUCACACUGGAACUGAGACACGGUCCAGACUCCUACGGGAGGCAGCAGUGGGGAAUAUUGGACAAUGGGCGAAAGCCUGAUCCAGCCAUGCCGCGUGUGUGAAGAAGGUCUUCGGAUUGUAAAGCACUUUAAGUUGGGAGGAAGGGCAGUAAGCUAAUACCUUGCUGUUUUGACGUUACCGACAGAAUAAGCACCGGCUAACUCUGUGCCAGCAGCCGCGGUAAUACAGAGGGUGCAAGCGUUAAUCGGAAUUACUGGGCGUAAAGCGCGCGUAGGUGGUUUGUUAAGUUGGAUGUGAAAGCCCCGGGCUCAACCUGGGAACUGCAUCCAAAACUGGCAAGCUAGAGUAUGGUAGAGGGUGGUGGAA